CACUGUAGCUGAGCUCAGAGCCUUCUGUGGGGUUUGCGGGGGCAAGGUCAGCUGCCCCCUGCCCUCCUUCUGGGGCUAUUUGAGGAAUGCGGCCUUUUUGCAUAAGAAAGGCUUUUCUCUGCAAUAACUGUGUUCGCUGAUCAAUGACACCUUCCUGAUGUAAGCGGGAUCCGUGGAUCUGAAAAUUCACAGCGGCCAGCUCACCACCACCUGACGAAAAACACACCACAGGGUGAGAGCAUCCUAACAGCAAACUGCAAAUGAGAGCCUAGGAUAACUCCUCUGACCUCACUGGUGAGAAUACGUAGGUGUUAAACUAAUGCACGGAUUAAACUAUAAGACCAAAGAAAAAAGUUCCCCUUUGUCCUCUGAAGGUUCACUGAAAAAUCAACUGGCAAAAGGAAGAUUAAUAGAAGAAAAGGUAUGUAAAAUUUUAUUUUAAAUUGCAUAGGGAAGGAACCACAAAAGAAUGAUGACCCAAUGAGGUAUACAGGUUUAUAUAUCUGUUUUCAUAGAGGCAGGGGGUGAUGUGUAACGUAGACUAUUAUUUUAAGAGGCAAUAGACCAUCAAGGAGAAUGAACAGACCCAGGAGGCAGGAAGCAGACAUUAGGGGAAGGUGAGGUGCAGAGCUACACAGGAAGAGAGGUUGUUGUUUAAUGCAAAUUAAGUCCUCCAGAUAAUCUCUUGGAGCUGACCUCAAAAGAACAGAUGGUAAGUGAA